AAGGAUCAUUACCUAGAGUUGUAGGCUUUGCCUGCUAUCUCUUACCCAUGUCUUUUAAGUACCUUACGUUUCCUCGGCGGGUCCGCCCGCCGAUUGGACAAUUUAAACCAUUUGCAGUUGCAAUCAGCGUCUGAAAAAACUUAAUAGUUACAACUUUCAACAACGGAUCUCUUGGUUCUGGCAUCGAUGAAGAACGCAGCGAAAUGCGAUAAGUAGUGUGAAUUGCAGAAUUCAGUGAAUCAUCGAAUCUUUGAACGCACAUUGCGCCCCUUGGUAUUCCAUGGGGCAUGCCUGUUCGAGCGUCAUUUGUACCUUCAAGCUCUGCUUGGUGUUGGGUGUUUGUCUCGCCUCUGCGUGUAGACUCGCCUCAAAACAAUUGGCAGCCGGCGUAUUGAUUUCGGAGCGCAGUACAUCUCGCGCUUUGCACUCAUAACGACGACGUCCAAAAGUACAUUUUUACACUCUUGACCUCGGAUCAGGUAGGGAUACCCGCUGAACUUAAG
rnacentral:rRNA from 2 species